UACGGAGGGUGCAAGCGUUACUCGGAAUCACUGGGCAUAAAGCGCACGUAGGUGGAAAGAUGUGUCGGUCGUGAAAGCCCUCGGCUCAACCGGGGAACUGCGUCCGAAACUGUCUUUCUUGAGGACGAGAGGGGAGAGCAGAACUUCGGGUGGAGCGGUGAAAUGCGUAGAUAUCCGAAGGAAUACCGAUGGCGAAAGCAGCUCUCUGGCUCGUAUCUGACACUGAGGUGCGAAAGCGUGGGUAGCAAACGGG
rnacentral:rRNA from 1 species